rnacentral:rRNA from 1 species
GACGAAGGUGGCGAGCGUUACUCGGAAUUACUGGGCGUAAAGCGUGCGUAGACGGCUAUCUAAGUCGGGUGUGAAAGCCCCGGGCUCAACCUGGGAAUUGCAUUCGAGACUGAAUAGCUAGGGUGCGGUAGAGGGAAGCGGAAUUUCCGGUGUAGCGGUGAAAUGCGUAGAUAUCGGAAGGAACAUCAGUGGCGAAAGCGGCUUCCUGGACCAGCACCGACGUUCAGGCACGAAAGCGUGGGGAGCAAAGCAGG